UCUGGUUUGACCUUCAAAUAAAGAAGUACUUAUCUACUGCUGCCUCUUCAGUGCCACACUGAACUGAAACCUUAACAAUGGUGAUGAAAGUGGGAUCGUGUUGCCGCACUUUGAAGAGCUGAGUCACUAUGGGGGAAAGGCCUAGCAAGCACUUGGUCGGAACGGCUUUCCACUCCCCCCACUCUAUCCUACCAGAACAGAAAUGCUGGAGGAGAGUGCUUCCAAGAAUCUGCCCUGUAAGUCCCAUGGAAGCCUGCACAGCAAGAGGCUUUGAAAAGGCCACAAAAGAUUCACCAUGGCGAAGAUCGGGAUACUCUCCGAAUUCGAUGUCACUCAUCCAGUGAGGUAGAGCUCCUAUGUUGCGAGAGCUGAAAACUACCUGCGAGUUAACCAAGUUCAAGAUGAUGGAUUGAAGGCCGUGACGCAGCUGUGUGUUUGCGGUCAAGCAACUUUUGACAUUGGAGAGAACUUGGUUGCACCAGUGCCAUUUGAGUCUAUUACAUACUCAGAACUUAAGAAGAUACUCAAAGAACAUUUUGAGCCCAAGCUUUUGGUCAUCAGCUGGCGGCAUGCCUUCAAACAACAAGACCAGCAUCCUGGCGAGUCUGCCGCUGACUUCACAGCUGCUCUUUGCCAAGUGGCCCAGCAAUGCGAAUUCAAAGAACUUGAAGAAAGACUUUGGGAUCAUUUAGUUUGUGGUCUAAGGAGCCAGGAGUUGCAACAGAAGAUCUUUUGCAAAUAAAAUAUGCAUUGAGGGAGAUAACGGCCGAAGAAGCAGUGGGCGGAGCUGUUAAGGCCUUGCAGCUCUCCAAGAACCCUCCUUGCCUGGAGGCCAUCCACCAAGAGGACUCUGAAUCGGACCAUAAAGUUGAUAAGUUACAGCAACUUCCAGAAAGAAGGCCUCAACGGCAACCUGACAAGGCAGUUUCCCUCUCUCGUUGCAUCGGGUGCGGAGGCCAACAGAAACGGACUGACUGCCAAUUCCACACAGCAACUUGCCAGGUGUGUAGCAAGCAAGGCCACAUCACCACUGUUUGUUUGGAUCGCAGGAAAAAACACUCAUCAGAAGAGUUGCCUCGGAAAGGCACAUUGACCAGCUGCGAUGGAGGUUACCAAGCCACUCUUCCGCUCCUGACUCUGCUCUCAGGGGGGACAAGGAACACAAUUGCGAUCAUGCAACUGAGUCUCUCAGCGAAAGUGGGACCUUGCGAUUGCCAAAUGAGGUUUUUGCAAACGAGGCUGCUCCUAACUCAGAAAAUGUCUGAAUCCAUAAGAAGCAAGAUAGAGAAUGACAAAGCAGGUCCAUGUGACAGUAGGUUCCCAAUCAAAAUCAAACACGGGGCUGCUGGCAGAAGCACCUUGGUUAUGUGGAAAGAAAAGUCUUCAUCCUGGUUCAUCCAAGCCGGGGAUAAAUAAACAAUAUGGCAACUGCUUUGGGAA